rnacentral:siRNA from 1 species
AGAAAGUGUUUAAGUGUUUUGAGA